UGCAACAUGAGCUGCUGGAUUUGCUAAUGAUCACUCUAAAUAGUGUUUCUUGUAAGCAUUGGCAAUGAACAUGAGAACUCGCUUUAUUCAUUUUCUCUGAUUACAAAGAAGAUGAAAUUUCACGUAAGUGCACUGUAAGAAGCUGCCCAUGUUUCUCCUGUAUUCAGAUAGUUUCCACAAUUCCAUUCUCAUUCUUAGGGAAUCAGUUCUUCCCUUGGUAGAUGAAGGUAGUUUCUGUUUAGCGGAGGACUUGGCCCAUCUUUCCUUAAGGGAUGACAAUCUUUGUACCAUUGCCACAAGUGAAGGCUUCUAGGACAUCUCCAUGGAUGGAAUAAGCCAUUGCAGAAGGAAGGACACCUCCUCAGAGAAUGGCCUUUGAGGAAGAUCCAUGGGAAAGAGGGAAAAGAAAGAGAGAAGCACAACAGAGGAACCACUGCUGAGAUCUGUAGGAUAAUGCCUUCUUAUACUAACUCCCUCAUGGACUAGAUCCUGACUGGUGAAGAUCCAAGACAGGAGACGUCAACAUUCUUG
rnacentral:lncRNA from 1 species